UGAACAUUGAGCCUUGAUGUGUAGGAUAGGUGGGAGGCUUUGAAGUGUGGACGCCAGUCUGCAUGGAGCCGACCUUGAAAUACCACCCUUUAAUGUUUGAUGUUCUAACGUGGACCCGUUACCCGGG
rnacentral:rRNA from 1 species